GAUCAUGGCUCAGGAUGAACGCUAGCUACAGGCUUAACACAUGCAAGUCGAGGGGCAGCAUUUCAGUUUGCUUGCAAACUGGAGAUGGCGACCGGCGCACGGGUGAGUAACACGUAUCCAACCUGCCGAUAACUCGGGGAUAGCCUUUCGAAAGAAAGAUUAAUACCCGAUGGUAUAAUUAGACCGCAUGGUCUUGUCAUUAAAGAAUUUCGGUUAUCGAUGGGGAUGCGUUCAAUUAGG
rnacentral:rRNA from 1 species